rnacentral:rRNA from 1 species
GACGAACCGUGCGAACGUUAUUCGGAAUCACUGGGCUUAAAGCGCGUGUAGGCGGAUGGGCACGUCGGUAGUUGAAAGCCCCCGGCUCAACCGGGGAAGUGGUGCCGAAACGACCCGUCUGGAGGGACGUAGGGGGACCUGGAACUUCCGGUGGAGCGGUGAAAUGCGUUGAGAUCGGAAGGAACGCCCGUGGCGAAAGCGAGGUCCUGGACGUCUACUGACGCUGAGACGCGAAAGCUAGGGGAGCAAACGGG